UACGUAGGGUGCAAGCGUUAAUCGGAAUUACUGGGCGUAAAGCGUGCGCAGGCGGUUUUGUAAGUCUGUCGUGAAAUCCCCGGGCUCAACCUGGGAAUUGCGAUGGAGACUGCAAGGCUAGAAUCUGGCAGAGGGGGGGUAGAAUUCCACGUGUAGCAGUGAAAUGCGUAGAGAUGUGGAGGAACACCGAUGGCGAAGGCAGCCCCCUGGGUCAAAACUGACGCUCAUGCACGAAAGACGUGGGGAGCAAACGAGGAUUAGAAACCCGU
rnacentral:rRNA from 1 species